rnacentral:rRNA from 1 species
GUGGGUUGGUGGCGGGCGAGACUAAUAAUGCAGUCGAACGCUUUGUGGUUCAACUGAUUUGAAGAGCUUGCUCAGAUAUGACGAUGGACAUUGCAAAGAGUGGCGAACGGGUGAGUAACACGUGGGAAACCUACCUCUUAGCAGGGGAUAACAUUUGGAAACAGAUGCUAAUACCGUAUAACAAUGACAACCGCAUGGUUGUUAUUUAAAAGAUGGUUCUGCUAUCACUAAGAGAUGGUCCCGCGGUGCAUUAGCUAGUUGGUAAGGUAAUGGCUUACCAAGGCGAUGAUGCAUAGCCGAGUUGAGAGACUGAUCGGCCACAAUGGGACUGAGACACGGCCCAUACUCCUACGGGAGGCAGCAGUAGGGAAUCUUCCACAAUGGGCGAAAGCCUGAUGGAGCAACGCCGCGUGUGUGAUGAAGGGUUUCGGCUCGUAAAACACUGUUGUAAGAGAAGAAUGACAUUGAGAGUAACUGUUCAAUGUGUGACGGUAUCUUACCAGAAAGGAACGGCUAAAUACGUGCCAGCAGCCGCGGUAAUACGUAUGUUCCAAGCGUUAUCCGGAUUUAUUGGGCGUAAAGCGAGCGCAGACGGUUAUUUAAGUCUGAAGUGAAAGCCCUCAGCUCAACUGAGGAAUUGCUUUGGAAACUGGAUGACUUGAGUGCAGUAGAGGAAAGUGGAACUCCAUGUGUAGCGGUGAAAUGCGUAGAUAUAUGGAAGAACACCAGUGGCGAAGGCGGCUUUCUGGACUGUAACUGACGUUGAGGCUCGAAAGUGUGGGUAGCAAACAGGAUUAGAUACCCUGGUAGUCCACACCGUAAACGAUGAGUGCUAGGUGUUUGAGGGUUUCCGCCCUUAAGUGCCGCAGCUAACGCAUUAAGCACUCCGCCUGGGGGAGUACGACCGCAAGGUUGAAACUCAAAGGAAUUGACGGGGGACCCGCACAAGCGGUGGAAGCAUGUGGGUUUAAUUCGAAGCAACGCGAAAAAACCUUACCAGGGUCUUGGACAUCCCCUGGA